rnacentral:rRNA from 1 species
GAAGGAUGCAUUACUGAAAUACUAUUUUAAGUUUUUUAUAUCCCAUUGUUUACUUACCCUGUUGCUUUCACUGGACAGAUUUCACCUUGUGUGGGUCCUUUGGCUUGUGUGAAAUACCACUUGCCAAAGAGUUGCCAGUGGUAAGACCUAUUUAUCAAAACUUGAGUUUCAAUAAACACAACUGUCUGAAUAUUUUUUUUCUUUAAUGAAAUAAAACUUUCAACAACGGAUCUCUAGGCUCUUGCAUCGAUGAAGAACGCAGUGAAAUGCGAUAAGUAAUGUGAAUUGCAGAAUCUCGUGAAUCAUUGAAUCUUUGAACGCACAUUGCGCCCUAUGGUAUUCCAUUGGGCAUGCCUGUCUGAGCGUCAGCUCCCCCUCCACUCAAGAAUCAUUUUAUAUGAUACUUGGAUUACUUUGGAGAUGUAACUGUAUAUUAAGUUGCCCUCCAUUAAUUUAUUGGCAGGUAUGGUUUGUACUUGGACCAGACGUAAUAGUAAUAGGGUCGGCUUUGUUUGGGUAUAAUUGAUUGUACUUGCCUUAACCCCCACCCAUUUUUAUUUUGGGUGACCUCAGUUCCGUUGGUUGCGGGAUACCCGCUGAACUUAAGCAUAUCA